rnacentral:rRNA from 1 species
AGCAGCCGCGGUAAUUCCAGCUCCAAUAGCGUAUAUUAAAGUUGUUGCAGUUAAAAAGCUCGUAGUUGAAUUUCGGGAUCAAUAUUUCGGUCAUGCCGUUGGUAUGCACUGUUAUCAUUGAUUUCUCACCUUCUAAAGAACCGUAAUGCCAUUAAUUUGGUGUUACGGGGAAUUAGGACUGUUACCUUGAAAAAAUUAGAGUGUUUAAAGCAGGCUCACGCUUGAAUACAUUAGCAUGGAAUAAUGAAAUAGGACAUCCGACUCUAUUUUGUUGGUUUCUAGGAUCGAUGUAAUGAUUAAUAGGGAUAGUUGGGGGCAUUAGUAUUCAAUUGUCAGAGGUGAAAUUCUUGGAUUUAU